GUCUACGGCCAUGCUACCCUGAACACGCCUAAUUCCGUCUGAUCUAGAAAGCUAGGCAAGGUCAGACUUGGUGAGAACUUGGAUGGGAGACCACCUAGGAAGAUUGGGUGUUGUAGGCG
rnacentral:rRNA from 1 species